GGUGGGAUGGCUGAGCGGACUAAAGCGCACGCCUCGAAAGCGUGUGGGCAUUUUGAUGCCUCGGGGGUUCGAAUCCCUCUCCCACCG
rnacentral:tRNA from 1 species